AUCCGGUGUUUGGCUAGUUGAUGUCUAAGG
rnacentral:piRNA from 1 species